AACGAACGCUGGCGGCAUGCCUAACACAUGCAAGUCGAACGAGACCUUCGGGUCUAGUGGCGCACGGGUGCGUAACGCGUGGGAACCUGCCCUUAGGUUCGGAAUAACUCCCCGAAAGGGGUGCUAAUACCGGAUAAUGUCUUCGGACCAAAGAUUUAUCGCCUUUGGAUGGGCCCGCGUUGGAUUAGCUAGUUGGUAGGGUAAAAGCCUACCAAGGCGACGAUCCAUAGCUGGUCUGAGAGGAUGAUCAGCCACACUGGGACUGAGACACGGCCCAGACUCCUACGGGAGGCAGCAGUGGGGAAUAUUGGACAAUGGGCGAAAGCCUGAUCCAGCAAUGCCGCGUGAGUGAUGAAGGCCUUAGGGUUGUAAAGCUCUUUUACCCGGGAUGAUAAUGACAGUACCGGGAGAAUAAGCUCCGGCUAACUAGGUG
rnacentral:rRNA from 1 species